rnacentral:rRNA from 1 species
GACGAACGCUGGCGGCGUGCUUAACACAUGCAAGUCGAACGGAAAGGCCCUGCUUUUGUGGGGUGCUCGAGUGGCGAACGGGUGAGUAACACGUGAGUAACCUGCCCUUGACUUUGGGAUAACUUCAGGAAACUGGGGCUAAUACCGGAUAGGAGCUCCUGCUGCAUGGUGGGGGUUGGAAAGUUUCGGCGGUUGGGGAUGGACUCGCGGCUUAUCAGCUUGUUGGUGGGGUAGUUGCUUACCAAGGCUUUGACGGGUAGCCGGCCUGAGAGGGUGACCGGCCACAUUGGGACUGAGAUACGGCCCAGACUCCUACGGGAGGCAGCAGCGGGGAAUAUUGCACAAUGGGCGGAAGCCUGAUGCAGCAACGCCGCGUGCGGGAUGACGGCCUUCGGGUUGUAAACCGCUUUCGCCUGUGACGAAGCGUGAGUGACGGUAAUGGGUAAAGAAGCACCGGCUAACUACGUG